rnacentral:rRNA from 1 species
ACGCGUGAGAAUUUGCCAACAGGACUGGGACAACAGUGGGAAACCCCUGCUAAUCCCGGAUGUACCGCAAGGGAAAAGAUUUAUCGCCUGUUGAUGAGCUCCCGUCUGAUUAGCUAGUUGGUGGGGUAAAGGCCUACCAAGGCAUCCAUCAGUACCUGGUCUGAGAGGACGAUCAGCCACACUGGGACUGAAACACGGCCCAGACUCCUACCGGAGGCAACAGUGGGGAAUUUUCCGCAAUGGGCGAAAACCUGACGGAACAAGACCGCGUGAGGGAGGAAGGCUCUUGGGUUGUAAACCUCUUUUCUCUGGGAAAAACAAAAUGACGGUACCAGAGGAAUCAGCAUCGGCUAACUCCGUGCCAGCAACCGAGGUAACACCGAGGAUGCAAGCGUUAUCCGGAAUGAUUGGGCCUAAAGCGUCCGCAGGGGGCAAUUCAAGUCUGCUGUUAAAGCCCAGGGCUUAACUCUGUAAAGGCAGGGGAAACUGAAUAGCUAGAAUGUGGUAGGGGUAGAGGGAAUUCCCAGUGUACCGGGAAAUGCGUAAAGAUUGGGAAAAACAUUCGGGGCGAAAGGGCUCUACUGGACCGUAACUGACACUCACGGGACGAAAGUUUGGGGAGUAAUGGGAUUAGAUUCCCCAG